AAUAUCCCCCAGAGAAAAACUUAACCCUUACCUAUCUGGCUAUCUUGAAUCCUUGAUUCCAAAAUCAAGAGACACUUAGAUUUCGGAAUCUUCUUUUUCGAAUUUUAUUGAUUCAUUUGUAUCUAGGAUUAUCAUUGAUAUAUAGGUCCAGAUUUCAUUAGUGUGGAGUUCAUUUGAAUGCGGAAGGUUAGGGUUCUAUUAAUAUCUUCAUCGGAAAAGCAAUUGCUAAGGUUAAACUUUGAUUUCACCUCUUAAUCUUCUGGUUUCGUUGCGAUUUUCCAAUGUAUGUGAUAAGAAACUAGGGUUUUGAUGUUUCCUUCGGGCUGUAUAGAUGCUGGUAGUUUGUUUAGAAAUGGAUCUUCCUGGUUUAGCCAUCAUACUUCAAGCCGUUCUUACUCCUGAAACCGGACAAAGAAAAGCUGCUGAAGGAAGUCUUCAACAGGAAUGUGACUGGAAAGGCCAUAGAUAUGCUGGUAAGAGACCUGAAGGUUUUAUAGGCAUUUGACGAAAAGGUGUUUUCGGGUACGACCGGACUCUUGGGAUUGAAGAACUUCAGAUGGAGGAUAAGGCAAUGGAGGCGGCAGCCAUAAUGGGGAUCACAAGAGGAACUUAUUUCAGUUAGCGGAAGACUUGGUGUGGCGUCAGUAUGGCCCCUGCUACAGAUGGGAAAGAUCAAUUUGCCACCAAGGACGUAGUAUCAUUGAUAUCGGAAUCAGCUGAAUACAAGUGGAUUACUUGAAUAGUAUUGAAGCAGCAGAGCUGAUAAAGCAAGGCCUAUGGUUUGGAUAGAGAAGUGGAUUCACCACCUCAAGGCUGGAAUGCUCAAGAUUGAGACCAGGUUGGUGAAGAUGCAAAAUGAUCAUUGAAUCUUCUGUCAAUACAGCCUCUUUUAUGUGAUUACUCGUCUCUGUUACAACUCAAAUAGACAAGCAGCGAGGAAAUAAAUCUGUUGACGACAAAACCAAAAUUUUCUCUGAUUAGUUUGCUGAUAUUAUAGCAUUCUCCCUUUUCCUCUGGUUCAUUAUUUACCGGUUGGACCACUAUCUUACGAAAAUGUGUCUAAAGACUAAGGCCCAGUUUUGCAAAGAUGAAGUGGAAAAGCUUCAUCUGAAAAUCAAAGAAAAGGAAGAAAAAGCUUUCAAGAAAAUCAAAGAGAAGGAAGAAAAAGCUUUAAAGGAAAGAAGAUUGUUAAAUCAAGAAGUCUUCUAACUGAAAGAGGAUUUGAGAAUCUGAAGAAAAGGAUAGACGGGCACUUGCAGCAGAAUCUAAUGUUGCCUCCCUUCAGAAGCAAUCUAACGACCAACCAAGCAAAAAAUUAGUACCUUGAGGGUAUAUGCUUUACCCAUAUGCUUUUGUAAGAUUGUUUGUUCGGCUGUUAUGCAACUUACUUCGAACGAGACCACUACUUCUUACCCAAAAGCUCCAUGGGCCGUUUUGAAGACUAAACAAUCCGCGGAUUUAACCGGGACCAACCGUAUUUGUGCGGAUGGAUGCUCGGACCGUUCGCUAAUGGGUUAGAUGCGGAUGGAAUUUUUGAAAUCCAACGGAUUACGGAUUGGAUCCGGAUGCAACCUUGAAAAUCCGUUGGACAUUUUCAUAGGUGUUUGCUUGGAGUGUUGUCCAACACACUUCCAUAUUCAUAUACACUUCUAUAUUCAUAUAGAUAUAUA